AUUGAACGCUGGCGGCAGGCCUAACACAUGCAAGUCGAGCGGAUGAAGGGAGCUUGCUCCUGGAUUCAGCGGCGGACGGGUGAGUAAUGCCUAGGAAUCUGCCUGGCAGUGGGGGAUAACGUCCGGAAACGGGCGCUAAUACCGCAUACGUCCUGAGGGAGAAAGUGGGGGAUCUUCGGACCUCACGCUAUCAGAUGAGCCUAGGUCGGAUUAGCUAGUUGGUGGGGUAAAGGCCUACCAAGGCGACGAUCCGUAGCUGGUCUGAGAGGAUGAUCAGUCACACUGGAACUGAGACACGGUCCAGACUCCUACGGGAGGCAGCAGUGGGGAAUAUUGGACAAUGGGCGAAAGCCUGAUCCAGCCAUGCCGCGUGUGUGAAGAAGGUCUUCGGAUUGUAAAGCACUUUAAGUUGGGAGGAAGGGCAGUAAGUUAAUACCUUGCUGUUUUGACGUUACCAACAGAAUAAGCACCGGCUAACUUCGUG
rnacentral:rRNA from 1 species